GUAAAUAAUAAAGGGCGUAUGGUGGAUGCCUAGGCUCUCAGAGGCGAUGAAGGACGUGAUAAGCUGCGAAAAGCUCCGUUUAGGUGCAAAUAACCUUUGAUGCGGAGAUCUCCGAAUGGGAUAACCCAAUAUGUUGAAGACAUAUUAUACCGUAAGGUAGGCAAACGCAGGGAACUGAAACAUCUAAGUACCUGCAGGAGAAGAAAACAAACGUGAUUCCCCCAGUAGCGGCGAGCGACCGGGGAUAAGCCCAAACCGUUAUUGUUUCGGCAGUAGCGGGGUAGUAGGACUGCGACAUUGAUGAAAUAAAUGAAAUGGAACACCUUGGAAAAUGUGAUCACAGAGGGUGAUAAUCCCGUACAUGCAAGUUUAUGAAUCAUAGCAGUAUCCUGAGUAAGUCGGGACACGUGUAAUCCUGACCGAAUCCGCCGGGACCAUCCGGCAAGGCUAAAUACUCCUGAGAGACCGAUAGUGAACCAGUACCGUGAGGGAAAGGUGAAAAGCACUUCGAACAGAAGAGUGAAAUAGUUCCUGAACCCAUACGCCUACAAGCUGUCGGAGCCGCUUCGUGCGGUGACGGCGUGCCUUUUGCAUAAUGAGCCUACGAGUUACUCAUCACCAGCGAGGUUAAGUACUUCAGGUACGUAAGCCGAAGCGAAAGCGAGUCUGAAUAGGGCGUCAAGUUGGUGGUGGUAGACGCGAAACCUUAGUGAUCUACCCAUGGGCAGGGUGAAGGUUUGGUAACACAAACUGGAGGCCCGAACCGGUAAACGUUGAAAAGUUUUCGGAUGACCUGUGGGUAGGGGUGAAAGGCCAAUCAAACUGGGAAAUAGCUCGUACUCUCCGAAAUGCAUUUAGGUGCAGCCUCUGUUGUUUUGUUCUAGAGGUAGAGCUACUGAUUGGAUGCGAGGGCUUCACCGCCUAUCAAAUCCGGCCAAACUCCGAAUGCUAGAACAUGAAGACAGGGAGUGAGCCAGCGGGUGCUAAGGUCCGUUGACGAAAGAGGGAGAACUCAGACCAUCAGCUAAGGUCCCCAAUUAUAUGCUAAGUUGGAAUAAAAACGGGGUGGGACUGCUUAGACAGCUAGGAUGUUGGCUUGGAAGCAGCCAUUCAUUUAAAGAGUGCGUAACAGCUCACUAGUCGAGCGGUCCUGCAUGGAUAAUACGCGGGCAUAAGCAUAUAACCGAAGCUAUGGGAUUGUAGAUGAUACAAUCGGUAGGAGAGCAUUCCAUUCAGCAUAGAAGCAGUAUCGUGAGGUAUUGUGGAGCGGAUGGAAAAGCAAAUGUAGGCAUAAGUAACGAUAAUGCGGGUGAGAACCCCGCACGCCGAAAGAUCAAGGAUUCCCCGGCAAUGUCAAUCAUCCGGGGGUAAGUCGGAUCCUAAGGGUAAGCCGAGUGGCGAUCCCGAUGGUAAACAGGUUAAUAUUCCUGUACUGAUCAUAACUGCGAUGCAGCGACGCAGAGGUGACACUGCUGCGUACUGACGGAAUAGUACGUUGAAACCCGUAUUCUUUGAUACCGGUAGUGAAGCACGCCGGUAGAGAUGAAAGGUGAUAGUACCGCAAUGCUUCGGUUGCGCGGAUAACGCAGGUAAGCUGACUGCCAAGAAAACCUGCUAAGCUUCAGGUAAUGAUCAUCCGUACUGUAAACGGACACACGUGAUCAGGUAGAAAAUACUAAGGCGCUCGAGAGAUUCAUGGUUAAGGAACUAGGCAAAAUGGUCCUGUAACUUCGGGAUAAAGGACGCUCUUGUGAAAGAGCCGCAGAUAAUAGGCCCAGGCGACUGUUUACCAAAAACACAUGGCUAUGCUAAUUCGCAAGAAGAUGUAUAUGGCCUGACACCUGCCCGGUGCCGGAAGGUUAAGAGGAGAGCUCAGAGGUAACUCGAAGGUUUGAAUUGAAGCCCCGGUAAACGGCGGCCGUAACUAUAACGGUCCUAAGGUAGCGAAAUUCCUUGUCGGGUAAGUUCCGACCUG
rnacentral:rRNA from 1 species